rnacentral:rRNA from 1 species
UACAGAGGGUGCAAGCGUUAUUCGGAAUUACUGGGCGUAAAGCGCGCGUAGGCGGAAUAUUAAGUCAGUUGUGAAAGCCCAGGGCUCAACCUUGGAACUGCUUCUGAUACUGGUAUUCUAGAGUUUAGUAGAGGGAAGGGGAAUUCCUAGUGUAGCAGUGAAAUGCGUAGAUAUUAGGAGGAACAUCAGUGGCGAAGGCGCCUUCCUGGACUAAAACUGACGCUGAGGUG